rnacentral:tRNA from 1 species
GGAAGUGUAGCUCAGUGGUAGAGCACAUGCUCAAUUAGCAUGCUUCAGAACCUGGGUUCAAUCUCCAGUACGCCCC